AUGGUGUCGUGUCCAGCGAGCAAGGAAGCCGCAGCCAUGGCAACGGAGGGGGAAGAGACCGCGACCACGACGGCGGCGGCGGAGAAGACGUUCCUGGUGCAGAGCGAGGACGGCAUGGAAUUGUUGGUGUCCGAAUCGGAGGCGAGCCAAUCCAUGACCAUCGACGGCGAGACCGUCUGCUACGACGGCGAGCCCAUCUACGUCAACGUCGACGGAGAAACCCUCUCCAAGGUCUUGCACUACUGCAAGAAGCACGCCGCCGCCGGCGACCACGACGACCUCCUCAGCGCCUGGGACGCGGAGCUCGUCCGCGGCGUCGACCUCGAGACCCUCUACGAUCUCAUCCUCGCCUCGAAGCAGCUGGAGGUCCGAGGCCUCCUGGACCUGGCCUGCGGGGCCGUCGCCGGCAGGAUCAAGGGCAGGUCGCCCCGGGAGAUCUGCCACCUCCUCGACAUCAGGGGCGUCUUCUUCCCUGACUUCCACCAGCAGCUCUCGUCGGCGAGAAGUGGGUCUCGCUCGUCUGAGUCGACAGCUCGAGAGCUCAAGCUGACGGAGAAGGCGCUGCGGGCUCUGCACGUGGUCCGUGUCCACGAGUUCACCUCGUACGAGCCCAAGCAGGACUACCACGUGUGCUAUCGCUUCCACCACGAGUUCAACACGGCCUUGUUCGACUACCACAAAGAGACUCGCUUCUGCCGUGGCCCGCCGCUCUGCAAGAGAAGACCGGCGCGAGAGUCGCUCGUGGGAGCAUGUCUCAACAUCAUAUCCUUGAAGGUGCGCGAGUCGGACGUCGGCUUCCCGAUCAACGUGUUUGGCACCGUCGUCGCAAGGGACUCGGUGGACUAUAGAUGCGUCUAUCUCUUUAGGCGUGACAGGGACGAUCCCCAACUCAUCACCUCGCCGGAUGAUGUGUUAUCUUUGUCGGACCCAUGUCGAGCGCUAGUUCCGCGGAGUAGGGUUCAUUUCGAGAUCGAUUUGAAGAUCAAGUGCGAUGGAGGGGCGGAUCAAGUUUUUAGCAAAGGCUUGGAAGAAUUCGAUUCGGUCCGCCUCGCUACAGGAAAGGAGACCAUGACCCUCGGUCUAGAGAGUUAUCUGAGUAGGCUGGAGUUGUCAUGUGUGCAGGUUUACACACCCGUGGAAGCCACCUUUGCCAUCAACGUUCUAAAGGGCCCGUGUAAUAUCUCGAGAGCAGUCGUUGCGACCCGUGGAAACUUUAGGGAUCGUAGAAUCCUAUACGAAGCAACGGACAACCAUAUAGUGAUCGGUGACGGUGGCUCCGUUCCGUUGACUCGGCGUGUGGUAGCCGUCCCACGGGAUCAGAAGCUGGCGCUCUUUCUUGUCGGUGGCGACGAUGUAGUACUUGGACACCUUGCCCUCACUCUAGGCCAUUCCGACGAAGUGGUCAAUCGUAAGAUGGGUUGCGCUGAGCUUGAGGUGAAAGUUGCUUGGACGGCUGUCCCGAGAAGAAAAAGACCUAACAUGUUUAAAGAGGUCGGAGAUGUGCGGCUCUUGCUGUGA
rnacentral:rRNA from 1 species